rnacentral:rRNA from 1 species
AGAUUGAACGCUGGCGGCAGGCCUAACACAUGCAAGUCGAGCGGUAGAGAGGUGCUUGCAUCUCUUGAGAGCGGCGGACGGGUGAGUAAUGCCUAGGAAUCUGCCUAGUGGUGGGGGAUAACGUUCGGAAACGGACGCUAAUACCGCAUACGUCCUACGGGAGAAAGCGGGGGACCUUCGGGCCUCGCGCCAUUAGAUGAGCCCUAGGUCGAGUA